UUUCGGGGGAGGAAGCUGUGCAGUCACAGCUGCGCUCCAGCUGUAGAAAAUAUGAUACCUAUGGGCAGAUAUCAAAGUCCGUGCUGCAAAGGGGCCAUGAACGGGACGGUUUGCAGGUGCAGGUUAAAAAUUAAAUAGCUGAAG